rnacentral:rRNA from 1 species
AUUCCAGCUCCAAUAGCGUAUAUUAAAGUUGUUGCAGUUAAAAAGCUCGUAGUUGGAUCUCAGGUGCAGGCGGGCGGUCCGGCUCGCGCCGGUUCCACUGCCCGUAUCUCCUGCCCUACCGUCUGCCGGCUCUCUCCCGUGGGUGCUCUUCGCUGAGCGUCCCGGGUGGCCGGUGCGUUUACUUUGAAAAAAUUAGAGUGUUCAAAGCAGGCCUCGGCAGCCUGAAUAAUGGUGCAUGGAAUAAUGGAAUAGGACCUCGGUUCUAUUUUGUUGGUUUUCGGAACGGAGGUAAUGAUUAACAGGGACAAACGGGGGCAUUCGUAUUGCGGCGUUAGAGGUGAAAUUCUUGGAUCGCCGCAAGACGAGCUACUGCGAAAGCAUUUGUCAAGAAUGUUUUCAUUA